UACAGAGGUCUCAAGCGUUGUUCGGAUUCAUUGGGCGUAAAGGGUGCGUAGGCGGCGCGGUAAGUCGGGUGUGAAAGUCUUGGAGCUUAACUCCGAAACUGCAUUCGAUACUGCCGUGCUUGAGGACUGGAGAGGAGACUGGAAUUUACGGUGUAGCGGUGAAAUGCGUAGAUAUCGUAAGGAAGACCAGUGGCGAAGGCGGGUCUCUGGACAGGUUCCUGACGCUGAGGCACGAAGGCCAGGGGAGCGAAACGGG
rnacentral:rRNA from 1 species